UACGGAGGGUGCAAGCGUUAAUCGGAAUUACUGGGCGUAAAGCGUGCGCAGGCGGUUUGUUAAGUCAGUUGUGAAAUCCCCGGGCUCAACCCGGGAACUGCUUCUGAUACUGGCGGACUUGAGGCCAGUAGGGGUCACUAGAACUGACGGUGGAGCGGUGAAAUGCGUAGAUAUCGUCAGGAAUGCCGGUGGUGAAGACGGGUGACUGGGCUGGUUCUGACACUGAGGCACGAAAGCGUGGGGAGCGAACGGG
rnacentral:rRNA from 1 species